AGGGAAGGCAGGGGAGGAAGCUUGCCCAGUCUCGGUCCCGGCGAGCCCCGACGGAGGGUGUCCGGCCGCUCUGGGGGAGCCUGGGGUGCUGCCGCGGUGGCUGUUGAUUGUGGGGGUGGACUCACGGGGCUGUAAAAUGUGAAAAUAUGUGGCAAAACAGAAUGCUACCUUCCUUUUUUCCUCUAGCAUAUAUAAAAGCACAGACUGCAUCAGACACUGGAGAGCUGCAUGGAGAUUUUACUUUGCAAAUGGAACAGCAUGCUGGCAGCAUAGAGGAUGAAAGUCUUUGAAGAGCUCUUUUGAGGAUAGAAAUCAGCCCAUGAACUCCUUCAGGCUGCAGUCUUAUUCAUCAUUAUUUCCAAGAUUUUUUUCACAUGCUCACCAAGAUAAAUUCAAAUUUAAAAACAGUCCCAGUGAGCUGGUGACAGAGCAAGCCCAGAAACUUGAAGGAUACCAAGCUCCCAGUAGGCACAAAAUGGCUG
rnacentral:lncRNA from 1 species